rnacentral:lncRNA from 1 species
CCAUGCCUGUGGCAUAUGGAAGUUCCCGGGCCAGGAAUCAAACCUGUGCCACAGCAGUCAUGAGAGCCACAGCAGUGACAGUGCCAGAUCCUUAACCUACUGAGCCACCAGGGAACUCCUGCAAUACUCUUACUCUCUAUCUGCCAGUGUCAGAAGUUGGUUAGAUGAGAAAAGUUUUCACAAGUGGGAGUUGUAGCUGCUUGUCUCUUAACUGUAGGGAAUCUGUCAACUUUCGUGCAGUGUAUCAAGACUUUACUCUUCAAAAUCAUUCUCAGUGUGCUCUGAAUUGCGAUACUUUUAAGCUAACUACUUCUCAAAGUGCUGUUUAAAAACUGACAUCUUCAACCGCAUUCCAGGCUUAGAAUAUAUCUAAAUUUGCAAAGUCUCAUUGGCUCUUACGAGAGUGCUACUUUAAAAAAAAAAAAAAAUACACUUGACAGCCAAUCUCUUGAAAAUGAUUUGUGCAGAAAUUGUGUUCAAAUUACUUUAUAUCAAGAGAUUUAAGAGAAAAAUGUGGUUUUCUUUGUAACAGGCUAAAAAUAAUGAUAUCCUUUAUCUUCAACUGAACAUGUACAUAUGUUGUAUAAGCUGUUGCAUUUAAACAAAUUGAAAAACAGUAGGAUUCUGGCUAUCAUCCACCAAGAAACAAAACCUGCCCAGAAUAUCCUUUUAAGCAUUAAAAAUACAAUUAACUGUGAUUUUCCACAAAGUUCAAUCCCACAUACCAAAUCCGUGUUGUCAACCAGGUCCAAGGCAUCAAAUUAUAAAAGCUAAUGUCUCAACAACAGACAGGAAGCUCAGAAAAAAAAAAUGAUUUCAGUACAAUUUUACAUAAGGGAACGUUAGUUUAUAUUUCUACAAAUUGCUUUUGAGUUACUGGGCAAUAUGUUAUUUAAACUCCCCCUUAUGGCAACAGAACACAAGUCAUAUCCCUUAAAUAAUUCCCUCUGAACAUUAAAUGUUUAUCAUGUGCAAAGUGCCGCUAGAUGAGGCUCAGAAAUGGAGAAAACAGGUUCACUGCUGUGAAUGCUGAAUGCUGAUUUUUUAAAACAGAAGAAUGUCACCAACUCUGAUAAUUCUGGGUGAUUCCUCCUUACCACCAACAGUGAUUUUUCAACUGUUUUCUUCUAAGCCGGAACCCUGCCUUCAAAUGAAAUCUUACAUGGAAACCCAAAACAUUAAAUAAAGUUGAGACCAUUCACCUUGACCUACUGAUUUUUCCUCCCCCUCCUCGCCACCCGCCCUCCCCCCUUUACCACCAAGGGCUUCUGCAGGCAGCCCCAUGGGAGUUUGGGGGUUUUGAGACAUGCUUCGGCCACUGGAGAAAGUGCUCUGCCCUCCACUGGUCUGAGGAGUCUCAGAUCCUUCACAUGGCCUAUGAGACCCCUUACACUUUGCUCCCUCUAUUUCGCAGCCCCAUGAGCUCAUCAACCCACUGACCAUGUAACAUACUGCCCUCAGUAAUGGAGUACCGACUGUUCACUGCAUGCAUUAUGCACCAUGCUGUUUGUGCCCCAUGCUUUAAGCUGUCCCUCCGCUUAAAAGGUGAGCCCUUCAUAUCCUUCACCUCCAUCAGUGCUGAGACACCCCACAACUCUGCAUGUCUGGAAACUGUCUUAACUCCAUAUAUACAUUCAUUUUCACCUCACCAUGGUGGGAGGUAGGUAUUCAUGUAAACUAACUUUCUUUUUUUUUUUUAAACACAUCCGGAAGUUCUUGGGCUAGGGAUCAAAUCGGAGCUGCAGCUGCCAGCCUAUGCCAGAGCCACAGCAAUGGCAGCUCUGAGCUCCAUCUGUGACCUACGCCACAACUCACGACAACACCAGCUCCUUACCCACUGAGCAAGGCCAGGGAUCGAACCUGCAUGUGCAUGCAUUCUAGUGGGGUUUGUUACCGCUGAGCCACAACGGGAACGCCAUGUUAAUUAACUUGUAAAUAAGUCAAGGACAGAGAGUAUCUUCUAUUUUCAAUUGUACAGUACGAUUUAGCACAGGUCUUGACUCAUAAUAGGGGCUUAAUAUACGACCGUGAGAGAACAAAGAUCAAUAGAUAGAUGGGUGACAUGGGUUAAACUAUUUCCACCAAACCCAUGGAAAACAUUUAUUAUCAGUAUUCAUGCACGUAUACGUACAUAUACACUUUUUCAAAAAUUGUGACAAAAUAAAGAGCAUAAAAUUUACCAUUUUUUCCAAAGCGGGUAGUUCAGUGGCAUCGAGUGCCCUCGUGUUGUUGUGCAACCACCAGCAUCAUCCCUCUCCAGGACUCUUUUCCUCUUCGCAGAACCCAAGUUCUGCCCAUCCAUACAUUGUACACUUCUCACUGUAUGAAGUGAUCUAGGGUGUGUAGAACACCCAGCUUCUUCACUUCCCCUUUGCCCCCACCUGCCGUCAAUCUCACGCCUUUUCCUCCACACUUGGGACCUUUCUUAGUGAGAAAUGUGGUCACUGUGGUUGAGACAUAUGGUCAAUGAAACUUCAGUUACCAGCCUAGCUACUAGCGAGCAGUGUAGGUGGCAAGACAUGAAUUUUCUGGAUUUUUUUUUUUUUU